UUUUUUUUUUUUUUUUUGCUAUUUUGCUAUAAACACUCCCUUGGGCCUGAUUUUCAAAUUUGUGUUUACACAGCUAGGAGUAGCUGCUAAGUCUUUCGAGUCUGUCACAGAGGGGUCUUUGGCCUUUCUGUUGCCGUGUGGUCAGAAACUUGCCAUAUAGAAGCCAGCUCCUCGCCACACCACCGCCUGCUUGUUUGAGGGCCAGCAAGCAUUCUACCACAGAGAGGCUUUUGUGGCUUUGAGGCCUCGUAUAAUCCCUAAUAGCAGAACCAUGCAGACUUUCCACUACUUUGCUGCUUCUCGGGCCCCGAGGUUGUUGGGCAGGUCUGCAGGGUUUCUGCUGCAAAGUCUGCCUGCAACUCAAGGGCUGCUCUGCCAUCCUUGGCCUGCUGCUCUCCCCAGGUGUCUAGAGCCUUGGGCAGUGCUUUCGGACAGCCAGUUCCACAAAGGACCCCGAGAUCCAGGUAAACCUACAGCAGCCCGUGAUCCCGGGCCAAGGAGUGGCGUUCAUCUCUGCAGCUGAUCUCCUGUCACCUUCUGGGACGGAGGACCACAGUCCAAUUUCUCAAGGACUCAGGUGCCUCCACUGGGGCCAGCUUAUGCACUAUCCGGUGGCCAGGGCUUUUAUGGGGGAGUUUCUUGGAGGACGUGCCCCCACAUUGCAUGCUGUGGCACAUCUGGAUGACCGUCCAAGGCAGUCACACCAAAGCCAGCUGCGUUUUAGGGCUGCCCUCCCCUGCUGUGACAGAUUGCAUCACCUCCGUGGUGGCACCAGCCUGGCCUCCCCACGCUCCGGCUGUCAGGUUGCAGGUGCCCACCUGGCUCUCUUCUGGAAGGAUGGUUUAAUGCGAGCUAAAGCUGGGUUCUCAGCCCUGAAGAUCUUGGGUGGGACUGAGAACCUGGCCCAAGUAUGGUCGACUUCUCACAGGAAGCCCUGGUUUCACCCUUAGCCAACCGCAACUUUUGUCAAUACGUUCUCAUGCCUCCAAAAUGAGACCCAGAGCAGUGUGUACGAACAGCCUGUAGAGGACGUGGAUUGCACUGGGAAUUUAACGAGGAAGAAGAGGAAAAAACGGGCUUACUUUACACACUCGGUAGCAAACAACACAACUCUCUGUCCAACACUUUGGUUUUUCACACCUUCUGCCAAUUAAUUCCCUCCUCGGCCAACAGCAGCUUGGUCUCCCCACCCCAGCACCACAGUCUUCCCUCUGGGCCCCCCUUUUUCACAUCUUUAUGCUAUGGUUGUUUGAUGGUGUGUUCCAUAAAGGCCAGAGAGGUCAAAUUAAUAAGUAGUGCUGGUUAAAUCGUCUGUAAGUAGUUUUAUUAAAGCCAUAGGUGAAUUCUCUUUUGCUCCCUCUCCCCACACUGGUAGCGGGUUUCUUCUGAGUGCCUUUUCCAUUUGUUCAUGUGGUUGCUUUUGAGUUCCCGUCAUGGCGCAGUGGUUAACAAAUCUGACUAGGAACCACGAGGUUGCGGGUUCGAUCCCUCUCCUUGCUCAGUGGGUUGACGAUCCGGCGUUGCCGUGAGCUGUGGUGUAGGUUGCAGAUGCGGCUCGGAUCCCGCAUUGCUGUGGCUCUGGCAUAGGCCGGUGGCUGCAGCUCCGAUUUGAUCCCUAGCCUGGGAACCUCCAUAUGC
rnacentral:lncRNA from 1 species